rnacentral:rRNA from 1 species
GGAAUAUUGCCCAAUGGACGAAAGUCUGAUGCAGCAACGCCGCGUGCGCGAUGAAGGCCUUCGGGUCGUAAAGCGCUUUUCGGGAGGAUGAGGAAGGACAGUCCUCCCGGAUUACGGACCGGCUAACUACGUGCCAGCAGCCGCGGUAAAACGUAGGUUCCGAGCGUUAUCCGGAUUUACCGGGCGUAAAGCGUGUUCAGGCGGCCUGUCAAGUCGGGCAUGAAAUCUCUCGGCUCAACCGGGAGGGGCUGUCCGAAACUGACCGGCUGGAGGGCAGGAGAGGGUGGUGGAAUUCCGGGUGUAGUGGUGAAAUGCGUAGAUAUCCGGAGGAACACCAGUGGCGAAAGCGGCCACCUGGCCUGUACCUGACGCUCAAACACGAAAGCUAGGGGAGCGAAC